AAGAUAUUUAAAAGAAGUUACCCUUUUUCAGAAUAAUUCGUUGUCUUCACCUAAGGAAACAGUUUUCCCUGAAACAAUUCCAGAAGAGAGCUCUGGUACUGAAGAGGAACAUGUUUACAAUAAAGGCAUCACUUGAGCAUCAUCUCAGGGUGAAGAUGAUGAUAGUGCACCUUGACAGAAUUGCGCCAUAUGUAGGAAGUGCUCGGAAGGAGAAACCUUGAGAAGGGUUUACUGUAUAUGGAAAUUAGUGCAAGUGUGGUGGCCAAAAUAUCAUUCUACGUCUUUUGCCUACAAACUCUUUGAUGAACAGUGUCACAUUAAAAUAUUAUUUAAAAAUGGCAAUAGUUCCUAAAGAAAAAUACUGAUUUCUCCCAGAAAAAGUUCUGUUAAAUUUGUUUAUACCAACAGCAAAUUUCACAUUCUAACUAUGUAGGAACUUGUCACUUCUUUCAAAACUGAAAA